rnacentral:misc_RNA from 1 species
UACGGAGGGUGCAAGCGUUAAUCGGAAUCACUGGGUGUAAAGGGUGUGUAGGCGGGCCUGUAAGUCAGAGGUGAAAGCCCACGGCUCAACCGUGGAGGUGCCUUUGAUACUGCAGGUCUUGAGUCCUGGAGGGGCCAUUAGAAUUCGUGGUGUAGCGGUGAAAUGCGUAGAUAUCACGAGGAAUACCAGAGGCGUAGGCGGAUGGCUGGACAGGAACUGACGCUGAGGCACGAAAGCGUGGGGAGCAAACAGG